CAGCAGCCACGGUAAUACGUAGGGUCCGAGCGUUGUCCGGAAUUAUUGGGCGUAAAGGGCUCGUAGGCGGUUUGUUGCGUCGGGAGUGAAAACCAGGUGCUUAACACCUGGCCUGCUUUCGAUACGGGCAGACUAGAGGCAUUCAGGGGAGAACGGAAUUCCUGGUGUAGCGGUGAGAUGCGCAGAUAUCAGGAGGAACACCGGUGGCGAAGGCGGUUCUCUGGGAAUGUUCUGACGCUGAGGAGCGAAAGUGUGGGGAGCGAACAGGAUUAGAUACCCCUGUAGUCCCUGUCUCUUAUAC
rnacentral:rRNA from 1 species